GACGAACGCUGGCGGCGUGCUUAACACAUGCAAGUCGAACGAUGAAGCCCAGCUUGCUGGGUGGAUUAGUGGCGAACGGGUGAGUAACACGUGAGUAACCUGCCCUGGACUCUGGGAUAACCCCGAGAAAUCGGAGCUAAUCCCGGAUAGGACCCUGUACCGCAUGGUGUGGGGUGGAAAGUUUUUCGGUUGGGGAUGGACUCGCGGCCUAUAUGCUGGUUGGUGAGGGAAUGGCUCACCAAGGCGUCGACGGGUAGCCGGCCGGAGAGGGUGACCGGCCACACUGGAACUGAGACACGGCCCAGACUCCUACGGGAGGCAGCAGUGGGGAAUAUUGCACAAUGGGCGCAAGCCUGAUGCAGCAACGCCGCGUGCGGGAUGACGGCCUUCGGGUUGUAAACCGCUUUUAGUAAGGAAGAAGGGGAGCUUGCUCCUUGACGGUACUUGCAGAAAAAGGACCGGCUAACUACGUGCCAGCCGCCGCCGUAAAAC
rnacentral:rRNA from 1 species